AACAUUUCUUUUAGAUUACUUAAAAAGUAAAGUCUGCCCACUGUUUAUAAUAAAGGGCCGCGGUAUUUUGACCGUGCAAAGGUAGCAUAAUCAUUAGUCUUUUAAUUGGGGAAUGGAAUGAAUGGCUUAAUGAUCUUUUACUUUUAUUUAUAUUAUAUUAGAAUUUUGAUUUUAAGUGAAAAUACUUAAAUUUUUUAGUUAGACGAUAAGACCCUAUAGAAUUUUAUUUUUUUUAAUUAUAUUUAUAUAAAAAGAAAGUUUAAAUGGGGCAUUUAUUGAAUAUAUUUAAUUUCUUAAUUAAAAAAUUAUCUUUGUUAAUAGAUCUUAAAAAAAUUACCUUAGGGAUAACAGCGUAAUAAUUUUUGAGAGUUCAUAUCGACAAAAUAGUUUGCGACCUCGAUGUUGAAUUAAAAUUCCUUUAUAAAGCAGCUUUUAUAUAAGGUAGUCUGUUCGACUAUAAAAUUUUUACAUGAUUUGAGU
rnacentral:rRNA from 1 species